AAUUUUGUACAAUGGGGGAAACCCUGAUCCAGCCAUGCCGCGUGUGCGAUGAAGGCCUUCGGGUUGUAAAGCACUUUUGUCAGGGAAGAGAAGGUUCUGGCUAAUAACCGAAACUGAUGACGUUACCUGAAGAAUAAGCACCGCCUAACUACGUGCCAGUCGCAGCGGUAAUACGUAGGGUGCAAGCGUUAAUCGGAAUUACUGAGCGUAAAGCGUGCGCAGGCGGUUCGGAAAGAAGGAUGUGAAAUCCCAUGGCACCACCUUGGAACUGCAUUCUUAACUACCGAACUAGAGUAUGUCAGAGGGGGGUAGAAUUCCGCGUGUAGCAGUGAAAUGCGUAGAUAUGCGGAGGAAUACCGAUGGCGAAGGCAGCACCCUGGGAUAAUACUGACGCUAACGAACGAAAGCGUGGGUAGCAAACAGG
rnacentral:rRNA from 1 species